UCGUUGGCAUAGAAGAGAGAAAGCCGCCUUCUGCAGGGAACCCUGUCCCUGCAAAGGUACCCCCAGCAAGCCCAGCAGCCUGGACAUCCCUCCAGCUGCAUCCACGCUGGACACCGGACUGACCCCUUGAACAGGAUGGCGGCGUCACCCAUUCUCAGAGGAAGGGAAGGCCAGAGCUGCCACCAAGGAGGGAAGCAGAGCCCCGUGGCUGUGGGAAGGACUGACCCUUUGCAGGCUGACAACAUGGUAAGUGGGUGCAGCUGUUGGAACAGCCCAAACCCUUCCCAACUGUCACCUGGACCUGGAGGCCCUCUUUGGUUGAGGCUGCAAUCCCUUGGAUGAAGUUGUCCCUGUGGAUACAACUGGUACUUCAUGUUCCUAGGAAGGACCCUCCCCAGCUGGGCAAGCUUUGUGCAGCCCUGGUUUCUGUUGCACUCGGGGCAGCUCUUUCCCAUCCUGUCC
rnacentral:lncRNA from 1 species